UACGGAGGGAGCGAGCGUUGUUCGGAAUUACUGGGCGUAAAGCGUAUGUAGGCGGCUUCGUAAGUCAGGUGUGAAAUCCCAGAGCUUAACUUUGGAACUGCAUUUGAGACUGCGAGGCUUGAGUACCGGAGAGGUUGGCGGAAUUCCCAGUGUAGAGGUGAAAUUCGCAGAUAUUGGGAGGAACACCGAUGGCGCAAGCAGCCAACUGGACGGUCACUGACGCUGAGAUACGAAAGCGUGGGGAGCAAACAGG
rnacentral:rRNA from 1 species